ensembl:lncRNA
AUCUUUUGCUGGAGAUCCCUGACUACCUGAGGCCUUCUGAUGCAUUUCUCUCCACUGGAAAUUUUCCAGGUUGUAAUAUAUCCAUCUGGUCUACAGUUUAAUGGAUGCAGAAGAUUUGACACGAUGCAUGAUUUCCUGUUACUGAAAGUCAGAACAGUGCUGCUGAAGAUUAAACAAGUGAUUUAACCAUAACUAGAUGGGGAACCUUUAGCUACCACUGAUGGUAUCAGAAACCUUCAAAUUCCAGAUUAUUUUCAGCAGAUAGUUAGAAAAUUACAUAUCUUAAUGACUUCAUAGUACCUUUUUAUGUAAUGAGUUCUCUCUCCUUCUCAGUUACACAGAGAAAAGGCAACUAUAAAUGAUAUCCAUGCUUUAAAUGUCUGAAAAGCUCAAUUUAUGGCUUCUUUUAUUGCAUCUAAAUGUAAUGAAUCCCCAAAAUAUGACAUUAAUCACAGCUUUGGUUUUAGAUAUUCUGAAAAUGAAGAAUUAAGAGAAUGAAAUAUUUGGAGGCUGUCAUCAAAGUAAACAUCUCCUUCUAAGUGGUAAACAAAAAAAUGUGUAUACCAGAUCAUAUUUCAAUAGAAUGUUUGAAAAGUAUGUUUGCUGCCUAUUUUUGUAAAAAAUACUGUGUAAUGCACAUGUUUCAGUCUGUAAGGUUUUUUUGGAAGAAGCAGUUUUUCUUUUAUGGUCUCUUUACUAUAUCAGUUCCUGGACUUCCUCUCUAUAAGUAGACUACUACUGGCCAGUUAAAAAUAACUGUUCUUAAAUCUAUACACCAUUUUUGUGUUUAUGUAUUUAAUAUUUUUAAAGAGUAAUUUACUUUUCACUUUUCUGUGUUUAAUUUAACAAGUCAACAUGUUACUACUCUCCUAAAAUAUAGAACGUUUGUAAAAUUGUGUAGCAAUAUAUUUUUUUUUUAUGAUGUGCAUCAUGACAGGAAAUGCUAUAUUCUUAUCUCAGUAAAUCCAACACUGCAAUAAAAGAAAAGAGAAUAAUCUGAAAAAGUGAAGUUUUGGGGCAAAUUUCUCAUAAAAUUUGUAUGCUCCACCUCUUUCUUUGUCAUAUAUUCUAUCACAUGCUUGGAAAUAUCAAAAACCUCACCUUCUUUUUCUGUAUGGUUGCUAGUACAAAAAACAAGACAUGAAAAAAUAUAUUUUUUUAUAUAUUCUACAGAAGAUUUUGAAAUAACUGCUUCUUCUAAAUUUGUUAAAUAAUCUCAGCUGGCCAGAUUUCCUUCAGGCUUAAAAAAUCAUGCUUUUCGCUUAAAAAUAAUGUAUUCUGAGUCUUUCCCUAAGUUGCUUGACCUUCACAGAGAGAAACACUUCUCUUGAUUACUACAAAACCAACCACAGACAUCCUACUGCUUCCAUUUUUGUAUUAAAACAUUUUGACUGAAGAACCAAAGAAAUGUACUUUCAACAAAGUUAGAGGGUAAACUUGGAUUUUAAUUUCCUGUUGUUCAUGUUGAUCAGCAAUUAUGAGAAUGAAUAUGUGAGCUUAAAUCUUGAGCUAAAACUGUUCACUUCCUUAAUCCACCUGUACAAAGAAACCCAACAGGGACAAGUGAAGUUACAAGAACCAUUCAGCUAGCAGUUUCUACUGUGGCCUUUCAUCAGUGUGCAGGAGCAGCUCCAUUAAUGCUGAUUUACAACAGUGUAAAUAAAAUUCUUGCUGAUUGUAAUUGGUCUCCUUAUGCUGACAACAAAAAGCAAUUUUCAAAAAGCACUUCAAACCAAAAGUGUUUACUUUCAAAGAAAAUAUACCAAAGUUUUUGAUUUUCCUCUACAUAUGAUCUGCCUGUAGAAAACUUUCUGAUUUUGUGUUAGUAAUGUUAUAUGUUUCAGUGUUUCACUAAACUGUAAGUCACCAUUCAAGUCUUUAUCUCAUUCUUUGACUUUGAGAAAGCUGAUCACCUUCUAAUCUUUAGAGAGGUACAAUGUAACUGACUAACUAACAGGUUUUCU